rnacentral:rRNA from 1 species
AGAGUUUGAUCCUGGCUCAGGACGAACGCUAGCGGCGUGCCUAAGGUAUGCAAGUCGAACGGAUCAGAAGGCUUGCCUUCUGGUGAGUGGCGAACGGUCGAGUAACACGUAGACAACCUGCCUUGCAGUGGGGGAUAACCGGGGGAAACCGCGGCUAAUACCGCAUACGGUGGUCCAGGGAUCCUGGGCUGACCAAAGGGGGCGCAAGCCUUCGCUGAAAGAUGGGUCUGCGGCCUAUCAGGUAGUUGGUGGGGUAACGGCCUACCAAGCCGACGACGGGUAGCUGGUCUGAGAGGGCGACCGGCCACACUGGGACUGAGACACGGCCCAGACUCCUACGGGAGGCAGCAGUGGGGAAUAUUGCGCAAUGGGCGAAAGCCUGACGCAGCGACGCCGCGUGAGGGAUGAAGGCCUUCGGGUUGUAAACCUCUUUCAGCAGGGACGAAGCGAGAGUGACGGUACCUGCAGAAGAAGCACCGGCCAACUACGUGCCAGCAGCCGCGGUAAUACGUAGGGUGCAAGCGUUGUCCGGAAUUAUUGGGCGUAAAGAGCUCGUAGGCGGUCUGUCGCGUCGGCUGUGAAAACUCGGGGCUCAACCCCGAGCCUGCAGUCGAUACGGGCAGACUAGAGUGCUGUAGGGGAGACUGGAAUUCCUGGUGUAGCGGUGAAAUGCGCAGAUAUCAGGAGGAACACCGGUGGCGAAGGCGGGUCUCUGGGCCGUAACUGACGCUGAGGAGCGAAAGCGUGGGGAGCAAACAGGAUUAGAUACCCCAGUAGUCC